rnacentral:rRNA from 1 species
AGCUCCAAUAGCGUAUACUAAAGUUGUUGCAGUUAAAAAGCUCGUAGUUGGAUUUCUGUGCAUCGGUUGUUGGGCUACGCUUAUGGUGUGGUCCCUUCACCGCUGUACAUCCUGUUGGCAGACACGUGCUGGCAUUAAUUUGUCGGUGCGGGGAGACCACUCGUUUACUUUGAGAAAAUUAAAGUGUUCAAAGCAGGCGCUCGCUUGAAUACAUUAGCAUGGAAUAAUAGUAUAGGACUUUGAUCUUAUUUGUUGGUUUUAAAGAUCAAAGUAAUGAUUGAUAGGGACAGUUGGGGGCAUCAGUAUUCUGAAGCGAGAGGUGAAAUUCUUGGACCUUCGGAAGACUAACAACUGCGAAAGCAUUUGCCAAGGAUGUUCUCU